CGGCCAACUGCGGGAGAGAUUGGAUUUUCUCCAGCGCCGAAGGAGCAACCGCCCCGGAAACUCUCAGGCAAAAGGACCGCAGUCAGGUC
rnacentral:ncRNA from 2 species